GUCCAUGCCGUAACGUUGGGAACUAGAUGUAGGGACCAUUCCACGGUUUCUGUGUCGCAGCUAACGCAUUAAGUUCCCGCCUGGGAGUACGGCCGCAAGGCUAAACUCAAAGGAAUUGACGGGGCCCGCACAAGCGGCGGAGCAUGCGGAUUAAUUCGAUGCAACGCGAAGAACCUUACCAAGGCUUGACAUAUACCGGAAAAGUUCAGAAAUGUUCUCCCCGCAAGGUCGGUAUACAGGUGGUGCAUGGUUGUCGU
rnacentral:rRNA from 1 species